AAUCAACGCUGGCGGCGUGCCUAACACAUGCAAGUCGAACGCGAAAGCCCCGCAAGGGGUCAGUAGAGUGGCAAACGGGUGAGUAACACGUGGGUGACCUGCCUUCGAGUGGGGGAUAACGUCCCGAAAGGGACGCUAAUACCGCAUCAUAUGCUGCCUUUGAAGAGGUGGACAUCAAAGCUGGGGAUCGCAAGACCUAGCGCUUGAAGAGGGGCCCGCGCCUGAUUAGCUAGUUGGUGGGGUAAUGGCUCACCAAGGCUACGAUCAGUAUCCGGCCUGAGAGGGCGGACGGACACACUGGGACUGAGACACGGCCCAGACUCCUACGGGAGGCAGCAGUGGGGAAUUGUUCGCAAUGGGCGCAAGCCUGACGACGCAACGCCGCGUGGAGGAUGAAGACCU
rnacentral:rRNA from 1 species